rnacentral:rRNA from 1 species
GAUGAACGCUGGCGGCGUGCCUAAUACAUGCAAGUCGAGCGAACAGACGAGGAGCUUGCUCCUCUGACGUUAGCGGCGGACGGGUGAGUAACACGUGGAUAACCUACCUAUAAGACUGGGAUAACUUCGGGAAACCGGAUCUAAUACCGUAUAAUAUAUUGAACCGCAUGGUUCAAUAGUGAAAGACGGUUUUGCUGUCACUUAUAGAUGGAUCCGCGCCGCAUUAGCUAGUUGGUAAGGUAACGGCUUACCAAGGCAACGAUGCGUAGCCGACCUGAGAGGGUGAUAGGCCACACGGGAACUGAGACACGGUCCAGACUCCUACGGGAGGCAGCAGUAGGGAAUCUUCCGCAAUGGGCGAAAGCCUGACGGAGCAACGCCGCGUGAGUGAUGAAGGUCUUCGGAUCGUAAAACUCUGUUAUUAGGGAAGAACAAAUGUGUAAGUAACUAUGCACGUCUUGACGGUACCUAAUCAGAAAGCCACGGCUAACUACGUG